rnacentral:lncRNA from 1 species
CCUCGUAAGAACUUCCAUUUUAUGUUCUUGUCUUCUCAUCAGUUUGAGUUGUGUCUUUAACAUUGGAGAGAAAAACAACUUGCAAGAUUUUCUUUCAGUAUGAACCAUUCUGAGGUCCUUCAAUUCUUUAGCUGAUUACCAACUCCUACCACUGUUAACCCUCAUCCAGGAACAAGCUUAUGUCUUUAACAUUCUGAGUGGGCUUCAGCAUCCUUGCAUAUGUUCAAUUCUUAAAAACCUGUUGAAAUAAAAGAUCAGGAGACAUAGGAAGGAUGCCAGAAGAGAGCGUGGCCUCACGUGUACCAGCUCUCUGCUCUCCUUUGCCUUGGGACGUUCCAUCCCUGGAAGUUUCCCUGCCCACAUCUUUGUAGAGAGUCCAUUCUCCAAGCUUCAGUGUGUCAUCUGUGAGGACCGUGACCCACCUGGUACAUCGCCUCAGGGCAUUCAUUUCAGGCUCCUUCUAAAUGGCCAAGGUAAACCUCAGGUUCUCCUCCUGCCUUUUGCUAAGUAUAUGUCUUGAUGACAAGCCUUCUGCUGAUGAGCUGUGUUUCUGGACCGAUCAUGGUAGAAGUCAAUUAACGUGUCCCUCACUUGGGGUUUCUCAAGGCUGCACUGAUGAGGAAACUGAAACAGAAAAUCCAGAGUAAAUUCCACCAGGCCACACAGCAAGGUCUGAUAGAGCCAGGAGAGACUUUAUGAAAUCCAGACUCUCACACUAAUGCUCUAUCAGCUAGACCUCCAUGUGAGUCUCCCCAAUGUAGGUAGGAAGUGCUUUCCC